UACGUAGGGGGCGAGCGUUGUCCGGAUUUAUUGGGCGUAAAGAGCGUGUAGGCGGCCAGGUAGGUCUGCUGUGAAAACUCGAGGCUCAACCUCGAGACGUCGGCGGAAACCAUCUGGCUAGAGUCCGGAAGAGGAGAGUGGAAUUCCUGGUGUAGCGGUGAAAUGCGCAGAUAUCAGGAAGAACACCCGUGGCGAAGGCGGGUCUCUGGGCCGAUACUGACGUGAGGAGCGAAAGCGUGGGGAGCGAACAGG
rnacentral:rRNA from 1 species